rnacentral:rRNA from 2 species
CCGGGUUGCGGACAGUGUCUGGUGGGUAGUUUGACUGGGGCGGUCUCCUCCCAAAGAGUAACGGAGGAGCACGAAGGUUGGCUAAUCCUGGUCGGACAUCAGGAGGUUAGUGCAAUGGCAUAAGCCAGCUUGACUGCGAGCGUGACGGCGCGAGCAGGUGCGAAAGCAGGUCAUAGUGAUCCGGUGGUUCUGAAUGGAAGGGCCAUCGCUCAACGGAUAAAAGGUACUCCGGGGAUAACAGGCUGAUACCGCCCAAGAGUUCAUAUCGACGGCGGUGUUUGGCACCUCGAUGUCGGCUCAUCACAUCCUGGGGCUGAAGUAGGUCCCAAGGGUAUGGCUGUUCGCCAUUUAAAGUGGUACGCGAGCUGGGUUUAGAACGUCGUGAGACAGUUCGGUCCCUAUCUGCCGUGGGCGCUGGAGAAUUGAGGGGGGCUGCUCCUAGUACGAGAGGACCGGAGUGGACGCAUCACUGGUGUUCGGGUUGUCAUGCCAAUGGCACUGCCCGGUAGCUAAAUGCGGAAGAGAUAAGUGCUGAAAGCAUCUAAGCACGAAACUUGCCCCGAGAUGAGUUCUCCCUGAGACCUUGAGUCUCCUGAAGGAACGUUAAAGACGAUGACGUUGAUAGGUCGGGUGUGUAAGCGCAGCGAUGCGUUGAGCUAACCGAUACUAAUGAACCGUGAGGCUUAACCUUACAACGCCGAAG